UAGGAUUGUCCGUAACUUUCCUACUUCCUUUUGUUACUGGAAAUCAUGAUACUUCUUUGUCUCUGGAUCCGGAUGGGAAACCAUGAUCGAUGACCUGUGGGGUAAGGUCUUGUGGUUGCUAAGGAAAUGGGAAAUUCCCUCACUUGUUUCUGAUCAUCCUACGUUAAAGGAGCGUUACCAAGGGCUAAUUGAAGCUGCUCUCAAGUUUGCCCUCACCAUUGACAACUUCGACGAUCUCGUGGAUCCUCAUCAUUUGUACGAUUGUUGUUUUGGACCUGAACCUUCGGCAUUUGUCUUAAAAAAGAUCGCUCGUGAAGAGAAAAAAAUGUCCACCUCGUACAGUAAGGAUAAGUAUGCUCGUGUGAAGAGUUUGAAGAACGAACCUUUAUCGUUGCUCACUCCUAGAUCAUAGAAGCGUAAGUUGGAAGAGGGAAAGGACGAAACCCCUGCCCCCACGCCUUCUCUUGAGAUGAUGACCUUCUACAAAGAGAGAUUACCUACUUUGAACAAUAGUAAUGCUGAUAAUAUUAGAAACGACGAUGUUCAAGUUGGUUUCAGCCAAAUAGGUAAUCAACAUCGAAGGAGUAUUCGUAGAAUAAGGAAUGAAUUAAAUAGCCUUAGCUGGCAACCAAGGUCAUUGCCGUGGCGGAGAUCUUUUGGAGCCAGGAUCUGUGUCUCUUGAUGUUAUUGCUGAAAGAAAACUUCAAUGGCGUGCCAGCAUUUAUAGCCGACGUUUGCGGGCUGUUUCUUCACCUUCCCAAAAUUGCCGUGAGCAGAAUGUAUCAGGAAAUAUUGGUGCAAAGGAAAGAAUAGUGCAAGGAAUAGGACCAUGGAUUUGGAGGGAGCUACAGGCUAUCCUUGGGGACCCAGAUCCAUCUGUUAUUGUUCAUGUAGCCUUCUCACUUUUCAUUGCAAGCCUUGAAAACAAUAUUAGUGUCCAUUCGGAACAGCUUAAUGUUGAAGAUGAAUCCAUUGCUCCUUUGCAUCGUUUCUUGGAUGACAGAACCAGUAUAUUUGGCAUGAAUUAAGUUGGGAAAGAAUUUUUGGCUGUCUGAACAAGAAAUUUAGUUGAUCACUAUGUUGGCAAGCCUGGCAUCCUUGCAAUUUUGUGCAGCGUUAGUAAAAAGAGUUAGCAGCGGUCUACAUUAGCACACUACUAGCAGUCUAGCACUCCACUACACUAAUUGAGAUGUUUUGCAGAGAGUUCAUUAAACAUGGAGACAUAUGAUGUGGUAGUUGAAUAUGAGUAGUUGGGUUGAGCACGGAAAAAGGCUUAUCAGUUUGUCUUAAUUAUCAACAACCUUUUCCUUUAUUUCACCUGAUGAUGCCAUGUUGGAAACUUGAGGUACCCCUUCUUUCUAAACUUGCCUUCUGGUUUAAAGAAGUCGGUCUUCUCACCAAGGUUCCAGGAGCUGCUUUCAUGUAUAUUACGUGAGGUAGCUUAGCUUGGCUACUGGAAGCAAAAAUAAUAUAUAUAUAUAUAUAUAUAUAUAUAUGGAGUUGACAUGGAUUUAAGCCCAAAUCAUGCUUGUGAUGAAGCAUGGAUAAAAGAUUGCUGCGACAAGGGCUGAUCUGAUAAUGAGACUGACAUUUUUCUGUAAGAAGAUGUUGGUUUGGGAGAGGUGCUGGUUUGCUUUGGGGCAGCCAAAGAUUAUUGACGCAAUGGUUUUGAGCAUUGAAGUGGCUUAGAUAUCUCAAUUUCACAAUUUUCCAAAGCCCCAAAGAUUAUCAAGGCAAUAGUUUUGAGCCUUGAAGUGGCUUAGAUCUUUGAAUUUCAUAAUUUUUCAAAGCAUCAUCAAAAUCGAAGGUGUUAUGUUGUGUCGUAAAUUAGUCAUUUUUCAGAAUUCA